UUGAACGCUGGCGGCAUGCCUUACACAUGCAAGUCGAACGGUAGAGGGGCAACCCUUGAGAGUGGCGAACGGGUGAGUAAUAUAUCGGAACGUGCCCAGUCGUGGGGGAUAACGCGGCGAAAGCUGCGCUAAUACCGCAUACGAUCUAUGGAUGAAAGCGGGGGAUCGCAAGACCUCGCGCGAUUGGAGCGGCCGAUAUCAGAUUAGGUAGUUGGUGGGGUAAAAGCCCCACCAAGCCGACGAUCUGUAGCUG
rnacentral:rRNA from 1 species